rnacentral:rRNA from 1 species
UACGUAGAGUGCAACGACGUUGUCCGGAAUUAGUUGGGCGUAAAGGGUACGCAGGCGGGUAGUAAAGUCAAGCGUGAAAGGUGUCGGCUUAACCGACAGACUGCGUUUGAAACUGAUUAUCUUGAGUGUAACAGAGGAGAGUGGAAUUCCUAGUGUAGUGGUGGAAAUACGUAGAUAUUAGGAAGAACACCAGUGGCGAAGGCGACUCUCUGGGUUAACACUGACGCUGAGGUACGAAAGCUGGGGAGCAAACGGGAUUAGAUACCCCGGUAGU